UUUUAAAGGAUAGAAGUAAUCCAAUGG
rnacentral:tRNA from 8 species